GGGGCGUUGGCGCAGUUGGUAGCGCGCUUCAAUGGCAUUGAAGAGGCCACGAGUUCGAAUCUCGUACGCUCCA
rnacentral:tRNA from 3 species